UGUGCAGACGGCGAAACAAGUCAGUUAUAAAAUCUCUUGGCUUAACCAAGAACCUGUAACCGAAACUGUUUUGCUUGAGGAUGGAAGAGAGAAGCGGAAUUCUCGGAGUAGCGGUAAAAUGCGUAGAUCUCGAGAGGAACACCGAUGGCGAAGGCAGCUUCUUGGUCCAUUUCUGACGUUGAGACACGAAAGCGUGGGGAGCAAACAGGAUUAGAUACCCUGGUAGUCCACGCUGUAAACGAUGAUCAUUAGAUGUCAGGUCCGUAUGGACUUGGUGUCGCAGCUAACGCGUUAAAUGAUCCGCCUGGGAAGUACGGUCGCAAGAUUAAA
rnacentral:rRNA from 1 species